UCGGGAAUUUUGGGCAAUGGGCGAAAGCCUGACCCAGCAACGCCGCGUGAGGGAUGAAGUAUUUCGGUAUGUAAACCUCGAAAGAAUGGGAAGAAUAAAUGACGGUACCAUUUAUAAGCUCCGGCUAACUACGUGCCAGCAGCCGCGGUAAUACGUAGGGAGCAAGCGUUGUUCGGAUUUACUGGGCGUAAAGGGCGCGUAGGCGGCGCGGUAAGUCACUUGUGAAAUCUCUGAGCUUAACUCAGAACGGCCAAGUGAUACUGCUGUGCUAGAGUGCGGAAGAGGCAACCGGAAUUCUUGGUGGAGCGGUGAAAUGCGUAGAUAUCAAGAGGAACACCUGAGGCGAAGGCGGGUUGCUGGGCCGACACUGACGCUGAUGCGCGAAAGCCAGGGGAGCAAACG
rnacentral:rRNA from 1 species